rnacentral:rRNA from 1 species
AGGGAAUCUUCCACAAUGGACGCAAGUCUGAUGGAGCAACGCCGCGUGAGUGAAGAAGGUUUUCGGACCGUAAAGCUCUGUUGUUGGUGAAGAAGGAUAGAGGUAGUAACUGGCCUUUAUUUGACGGUAAUCAACCAGAAAGUCACGGCUAACUACGUGCCAGCAGCCGCGGUAAUACGUAGGUGGCAAGCGUUGUCCGGAUUUAUUGGGCGUAAAGCGAGCGCAGGCGGAAGAAUAAGUCUGAUGUGAAAGCCCUCGGCUUAACCGAGGAAUUGCAUCGGAAACUGUUUUCUUGAGUGCAGAAGAGGAGAGUAGAACUCCAUGUGUAGCGGUGGAAUGCGUAGAUAUAUGGAAGAAUACCAGUGGCGAAGGCGGCUCUCUGGUCUGCAACUGACGCUGAGGCUCGAAAGCAUGGGUAGCGAACAGGAUUAGAUACCCUGGUAGUCCAUGCCGUAAACGAUGAGUGCUAAGUGUUGGGAGGCUUCCGCCUCUCAGUGCUGCAGCUAACGCAUUAAGCACUCCGCCUGGGGGAGUACGACCGCAAGG